rnacentral:rRNA from 1 species
ACGCGAAGAACCUUACCCAGGCUUGAACAGCGAGUGACCAUCGAUGAAAGUCGACUUCCGCAAGGACACUUGUAGAGGUGCUGCAUGGCUGUCGUCAGCUCGUGUCGUGAGAUGUUGGGUUAAGUCCCGCAACGAGCGCAACCCUUGUUUGCUGUUGCCAUCAGGUCAAGCUGGGCACUCUGCAAAGACUGCCGGUGAUAAACCGGAGGAAGGUGGGGAUGACGUCAAGUCAGCAUGGCCUUUAUGUCUGGGGCUACACACGUGCUACAAUGGCCGAUACAAACCGUCGCAAAACCGCAAGGUGGAGCUAAUCGGAGAAAGUCGGUCUCAGUUCGGAUAGCAGGCUGCAACUCGCCUGCUUGAAGUUGGAAUCGCUAGUAAUCGCGGAUCAGCACGCCGCGGUGAAUACGUUCCCGGGCCUUGUA